GAGUCUUGGGGAACUGGAACGGGCAGUGAUGGACCUGCUCUGGGCGGGCCAGGAGGCUGCAACUGCCAACACCCUGCGUGAUCUUCUCGCGCAGGACUCC
rnacentral:tRNA from 1 species